rnacentral:rRNA from 1 species
UACGUAGGGAGCAAGCGUUAUCCGGAUUCAUUGGGCGUAAAGCGCGCGUAGGCGGCUGCCUAAGCGGAACCUCUAAUCCCAGGGCUCAACCUUGGGCCGGGUUCCGAACUGGGUGGCUCGAGUGCGGUAGAGGCAAGUGGAAUUCCCGGUGUAGCGGUGGAAUGCGCAGAUAUCGGGAAGAACACCGAUGGCGAAGGCAGCUUGCUGGGCCGACACUGACGCUGAGGCGCGAAAGCUGGGGGAGCGAACAG